rnacentral:rRNA from 1 species
CCCUUAGAUGUCCUGGGCCGCACGCGCGUUACACUGAUGCAUUCAACGAGCUUAUAACCUUGGCCGAGAGGCCUGGGCAAUCUUGUUAACGUGCAUCGUGAUAGGGAUAGAUUAUUGAAAUUAUUAAUCUUGAACGAGGAAUUCCUAGUAAACGCAGAUCAUCAAUCUGCAUUGAUUACGUCCCUGCCCGUUGUACACACCGCCCGUCGCACCUACCGAUUGGAUGGUCCGGUGAAGCCUCGGGAUUGUGGUUCUUGCCGCUUUAUUGUGGCGUGACCGCGAGAACUUGUCUAAACCUUAUCAUCUAGAGGAAGGUGAAGUCGUAACA